ensembl:snRNA U6 U6 spliceosomal RNA
GUGCUUGCUUCAGCACCAUAUAUACUAAAAUUGAAAUGACAUAGAGAUUAGUAUGGCCCCUGCACAAGGAUGACAUGCGAAUUUGUGAAGCAUUCAGUUUUUUU